GAUGAACGCUGGCGGCGUGCUUAACACAUGCAAGUCGAACGGAAAGGCCCAAGCUUGCUUGGGUACUCGAGUGGCGAACGGGUGAGUAACACGUGGGUGAUCUGCCCUGCACUUCGGGAUAAGCCUGGGAAACUGGGUCUAAUACCGGAUAGGACGAUGGUUUGGAUGCCAUUGUGGAAAGUUUUUUCGGUGUGGGAUGAGCUCGCGGCCUAUCAGCUUGUUGGUGGGGUAAUGGCCUACCAAGGCGUCGACGGGUAGCCGGCCUGAGAGGGUGUACGGCCACAUUGGGACUGAGAUACGGCCCAGACUCCUACGGGAGGCAGCAGUGGGGAAUAUUGCACAAUGGGCGCAAGCCUGAUGCAGCGACGCCGCGUGGGGGAUGACGGCCUUCGGGUUGUAAACUCCCUUCGCUAGGGACGAAGCGUUUUUGUGACGGUACCUGGAGAAGAAGCACCGGCUAACUACGUG
rnacentral:rRNA from 1 species